rnacentral:rRNA from 1 species
UACGAAGGGGGCUAGCGUUGCUCGGAAUGACUGGGCGUAAAGGGCGCGUAGGCGGUUUGGACAGUCAGAUGUGAAAUUCCUGGGCUCAACCUGGGGGCUGCAUUUGAUACGUUCGGACUAGAGUGGGGAAGAGGGUCGUGGAAUUCCCAGUGUAGAGGUGAAAUUCGUAGAUAUUGGGAAGAACACCGGUGGCGAAGGCGGCGACCUGGUCCUUGACUGACGCGGAGGCGCGAAAGCGUGGGAGCAAACAGG